rnacentral:rRNA from 1 species
AAUAGAUACCCAGGUAGUCCACGCCGUAAACGAUGAGUGCUAAGUGUUAGAGGGUUUCCGCCCUUUAGUGCUGAAGUUAACGCAUUAAGCACUCCGCCUGGGGAGUACGGCCGCAAGGCUGAAAACUCAAAGGAAGUUGACGGGGGCCCGCACAAGCGGUGGAGCAUGUGGUUUAAUUCGAAGCAACGCGAAGAACCUUACCAGGUCUUGACAUCCUCUGAAAACCCUAGAAAUAGGGCUUCUCCUUCGGGAGCAGAGUGACAGGUGGUGCAUGGUUGUCGUCAGCUCGUGUCGUGAGAUGUUGGGUUAAGUCCCGCAACGAGCGCAACCCUUGAUCUUAGUUGCCAUCAUUUAGUUGGGCACUCUAAGGUGACUGCCGGUGACAAACCGGGAGGAAGGUGGGGAUGACGUCAAAUCAUCAUGCCCCUUAUGACCUGGGCUACACACGUGCUACAAUGGACGGUACAAAGAGCUGCAAGACCGCGAGGUGGAGCUAAUCUCAUAAAAACCCGGUUUCUCAGUUUCGGAUUGUAGGCUGCAACUCCG